rnacentral:rRNA from 1 species
UAAGCAUAUCAAUAAGCGGAGGAAAAGAAACCAACAGGGAUUGCCCUAGUAACGGCGAGUGAACAGGCAAGAGCUCAGAUUUGAAAGCCUUUUUGGCAUUGUAUUCUGAAGUCAGUUUCCUGAGUAUCGGUGUUUAAGUCUUCUGGAAAGGAGCGCCAUGGAGGGUGAUAGCCCCGUACGACACCUCACUCAUUGUAGGAUUCUGACGUGGAGUCGAGUUGUUUGGGAAUGCAGCUCAAAAGGGUGGUAUGCUCCAUCUAAAGCUAAAUAUCUGUGAGAGACCGAUAGCGAACAAGUACUGUGAAGGAAAGAUGAAAAGAACUUUGAAAAGAGAGUGAAAAAGUACGUGAAAUUGUUGAAAUGGAAGGAUAUGCCGCUAACAAUGUAGAGCCGUGUUUGGGGGGAAGACAAAAGCUGAAGAAUGUAUCUCUUUUAGGGAAUUAUAACUUCAGUCAAUAUUCCCAUCCGGGCGCGAGGACCUCAGGCUCUACUAAAUGGUGGUCUAUCACCCGUCUUGAAACACGGACCAAGGAGUCUAUUGCCUGCGCGAGUAUUUGGGUGGCAAACCCAUAUGCGAAGUGAAAGCGAGUGGUUCCAACCUUCGGGGGCAGAAUCAGCCGACCGUUCAUAGGAACGGAUUGAGUGGAGCGCAAGUGAUGGGACCCGAAAGAUGGUGAACUAUGCCUGAAUAGGGUGAAGCCAGAGGAAACUCUGGUGGAGGCUCGCAGCGGUUCUGACGUGCAAAUCGAUCGUCAAAUUUGGGUAUAGGGGCGAAAGACUAAUCGAACCAUCUAGUAGCUGGUUCCUGCCGAAGU